UGCACAAAUAAAAGAGAAAAAUAGAAAAAAUAUUUCCAAUUAAGAAAAUAUAUUGAAUCAUGUCCUCUGAGAUGAUGGUUUCAUUUAAAUUGAAGACUCAGAUAUCCACAUCUCCCGACACAUUUCAUGCCAAAACUGGUUUAGGAAUUCUGCAGAUCAAAGGAGGAAGGGCUGUUGCAGCUGAGAAGAGACACUUCUAAGACAUCUUGCAAGGUCUUUAUAGGUGUCGGAUACUCCCCAGCCCUUUAAUGUUGGACCUGGACAUGUGAUGGGCUUUGGUCAGUGAGAUGUUUGUAGACAUGCUGUGAGGAGAAGAAGCUUAAAUGCUGUGUAUGCUCACACCAUUGGGUUUGACUUUUGCAUUUUUUUCUCAUUCUAUGAGGAGAAAAAAAAAAUGUAGCCACUGGUUCCCAGCAAUGAAAGACAUGUGAAACAGAUCUAGCCCAACUCUCUUCUGGAGCCAACUUGGAGCCAGCUGAACCUUCCCUGGAUCAAGCGAUAAUCCAUAGAUCCAUGAGAGGGAAAUAAAUGAUUAUUGUCAGGUGACACGGAGUUUUGAGAUGACUUGUUAUACAUCUUUUACGAAAAUUACUGAUAGAUGCAAUUGAUAGUGCACUGACUUUAUAAUAAUUUGAAGAGAGCUGAUGUAUUUGUAAAGUAUUGAGUCCUCCAGUUCAUAACUGUGGCUUGUCUUUCUUUUCACUUAGAUCUUCUUUAAUUAUUCUCAAUAAUACUUUAUGGUUUUCUGAAUGAUUAUCUUAAAAAUAAUUGAUUAGAUUUAGUCUUAGAUUAU